GGGAUGCAGUCUGGGACACGUAGUUGCAAACCUAGCGACUUUGUUGUUAGAUUCAAUGACUUUUCAGACCCCCUAACGACUUUUUUUUAGAAAGAAAGUGACUUUUAUCGACUUCUUCUGGAGUUUAGAGACUCUGACAUGAAGCAGGCUUUCCUUACUGAGGAGUUAGCAACACUGCUUAGGGUGCAGAGCCACACAUGCGCUCCGAGCUCUGCAUGGGAGACUGAAGCUGACAGAGCUGCAGCAGUUAGCAGGUUUCACCCUCAGAGACCACCAGGGGUUCAUGUUGAGGCAUUUUAAUUUUUUUUUUUUUUGUGCCAUAGACACUGUCAGCACAAUCUGCAGUUACACUAACAAAAAUGCUGCAAAAAACAAAGAAUUAUGGAAAAAUUACACAUGGACUGACAUAGAGGAGGAUCUACACAAGUUUUUUACAUCAUGUUUUACAUCAUGCAUCAUUUACAUCAUGUUUUUUUGUAGUGGCAUAAAUAAAAAGUGACAUUUGUGAGACUAUACAGUGUUUUGUAAAUAAUUUUACAAAGAACGCCUGGGCCAUUGCCUGCACUUUGAUGAAAAUAGAGGUAAAUCACUAUGUUCUUUGUUAAAAAUUUGCAUAUGUUUUGAAGUUUACAAUUUUUAUUUGAAGUUUAAGUUUUAAAAACAGUUCAUCACACAUAUUUGUGGUUUUCACAGUAAAAAUGUUACUUUUUUCCACUCGGAUUUUAUGUUUUGUGUGUGAAUUUGGGUCCAUUGUGUAAAUUCAGUAUGUCAACAUGAUAAAAUAACUGUAAAUUCGCACAGGUGAGGUUGUGCUGAAAAAAAUGAUACCAGGCAAGGCACGUGAUUGUCAAAUUUUGUGUCAAUAUGACAAAGCGUAUAGGCGUGAAUCUCAACAAUAUGUAUUUUCACCUUAGGGGACAAGAAAAAAUGGACUUUUUUCUCCUGCCAUGGGGGGGCGCUCUUUUGGGGAGUAAAAAUUCCUUCACAAAUGUGUUGAUGGCUGGACAUUGCAUCAUCCUAGAAAACUUGGAGGCCAGUGAGGACAAAAAUAAAAAGUUAUAAGACUUUUAAAUAUGUGGAUUUUAGGGUUAUCUUUGGCGCCCCCUAGAACCUAAACCGUGGGGUGCAGCGUCAUGAUUUGAAUAACUUUUAAUGGCCAUGGGGUGUAGAUUGUCCUGAGCAAAUGUGGUGCCGGUGGAACGAAAGCCUUAGGAGGAGUUAGCCACAUUCCAAUGUGUGCGGAUCACCAAAAAAUGCGGAAUAACCCUUUAACCGUACAUUUGACAGAUACGCGCGCAUUGACUUUUUCGUAGAUCUUAUUGAGAUACAUGUGUGUGUCAAUUUUUGUGUCAUUUUGACAAAGCGUAUAGGCGUGACACUCAACAAUGUGUAUUUUCACCUUAGGGGACAAGAAAAAAUGGACUUUUUUCUCCUGCCAUGGGGGGGCGCUCUUUUGGGGAGUAAAAAUUCCUUCACAAAUGUGUUGAUGGCUGGACAUUGCAUCAUCCUAGAAAACUUGGAGGCCAGUGAGGACAAAAAUAAAAAGUUAUAAGACUUUUAAAUAUGUGGAUUUUAGUGUUAUCUUUGGCGCCCCCUAGAACCUAAACCUUGGGGUGCAGCGUCAUGAUUUUGAUAACUUUUAAUGGCCACAGGGUGUAGAUUGGCCUGAGCAAAUGUGGUGCCGGUGGAACGAAAGCCUUCGGAGGAGUUAGCGAAAUUCCAAUGUGUGCGGAUCGGAAAAAAAUGCGGAAUAACCCUUUAACCGUACAUUUGACAGAUACGGCCGCACUGACUUUUUUGUAGAUCUUAUUGAGAUACAUAUGUGUGUCAAUUUUUGUGUCAAUAUGACAAAGCGUACAGGCGUGACAGUCAAUAGUGUGAAUUUCCACCUUAGGGGGCGCUAUGGAGCCAUUUUGCAUUUUAUUGUUUGGGCGACUUCAGAAUAUCGAAUUUUUCACCAGGCCCGGUCGUCCUGCCAAAUUUCAUGAGUUUUCGCCAGUGGGAAGUGGGCCAUUUUCCAGUUCAAAGGGGAGGAAAAAGAAGAAAGAAAGAAAGAACUAGGGCCCCGGUGGGGCACUGGCGGGCCCGAGCCGUGUCGCGCCGCCCCCAGCGCGACCGCCUCCCCCUCCCGAUCGCGUCACACUCAAGGUCCAAAGAUGGUGUGCGCACUUGUCUGUGGUCAUUUACCAUUAUAAUGAAUGGGAGGCGCAGUUUCUACCAAAAUGCUCGCUGCAGACAAACUCCAUGUCCUUUUUGAAAAAAGUCUGGACCAUGAGUGAGGGCACAAACACAGCUUCCAUAUAUCCAAAUGGCAAGUUGCUCCUCCUUUCGGUUUGCCGAGAGAGCGAUGCGUUUGAGCCAUUGGGCGAAGGGCAGGAAAAACUUAACUUUUCUCCUGCCAUGGGGGCGCUCUUUGGGGAGAAAAAUUCUUUCACAAAUGUGUUGAUGGCUGGACAUUGCAUCAUCCUAGAAAACUUGGAGGCCAGUGAGGACAAAAAUAAAAAGUUAUAAGACUUUUAAAUAUGUGGAUUUUAGGGUUAUCUUUGGCGCCCCCUAGAACCUAAACCGUGGGGUGCAGCGUCAUGAUUUGAAUAACUUUUAAUGGCCAUGGGGUGUAGAUUGGCCUGAGCAAAUGUGGUGCCAGUGGGACGAAAGCCUUCGGAGGAGUUAGCCACAUUCCAAUGUGUGCGAAUCGGCAAAAAAUGCAAAAUAGCCCUUUAACCGUACAUUUGACAGAUACGCGCCAUUGACUUUUUCGUAGAUCUUAUUGAGAUACACGUGUGUGUAAAAUUUUGUGUCACUAUGACAAAAGCAUACAGGCGUAGACACUCAACAAUGUGUAUUUUCACCUUAUGGGACAAGAAAAAAUUGACUUUUUUCUCCUGCCAUGGGGGGCGCUCUUUUGGGAGUAAAAAUUCCUUCACAAAUGUGUUGAUGGCUGGACAUUGCAUCAUCCUAGAAAACUUGGAGGCCAGUGGGGACAAAAAUAAAAAGUUAUAAGACUUUUAAAUAUGUGGAUUUUACGGUUAUCUUUGGCGCCCCUAGAACCUAAACCGUGGGGUGCAGCGUCAUGAUUUGAAUAACUUUUAAUGGCCAUGGGGUGUAGAUUGGCCUGAGCAAAUGUGGUGCCGGUGGAACGAAAGCCUUCGGAGGAGUUAGCGAAAUUCCAAUGUGUGCGGAUCGGCAAAAAAUGCGGAAUAACCCUUUAACCGUACAUUUGACAGAUACGCGCGCAUUGACUUUUUUGUAGAUCUUAUUGAGAUACAUGUGUGUGUCAAUUUUUGUGUCAUUUUGACAAAGCGUACAGGUGUUACACUCAACAAUGUGUAUUUUCACCUUAGGGGACAAGAAAAAAUGGACUUUUUUCUCCUGCCAUGGGGGGGCGCUCUUUUGGGGAGUAAAAAUUCCUUCACAAAUGUGUUGAUGGCUGGACAUUGCAUCAUCCUAGAAAACUUGGAGGCCAGUGAGGGCAAAAAUAAAAAGUUAUAAGACUUUUAAAUAUGUGGAUCUUAGGGUUAUCUUUGGCGCCCCCUAGAACCUAAACCGUGGGGUGCAGCGUCAUGAUUUGAAUAACUUUUAAUGGCCAUGGGGUGUAGAUUGGCCUGAGCAAAUGUGGUGCCGGUGGAACGAAAGCCUUCGGAGGAGUUAGCGAAAUUCCAAUGUGUGCGGAUCGGCAAAAAAUGCGAAAUAACCCUUUAACCGUACAUUUGACAGAUACGCCCGCACUGACUUUUUUGUAGAUCUUAUUGAGAAUACAUGUGUGUGUCAAUUUUUGUGUCAUUUUGACAAAGCGUACAGGCGUGACAGUGAAUAGUGUGAAUUUUCACCUUAGGGGGCGCUAUGGAGCCAUUUUGCAUUUUAUUGUUUGGGCGACUUCAGAAUAUCAAAUUUUUCACCAGGCCCGGUCGUCCUGCCAAAUUUCAUGAGUUUUCGCCAGUGGGAAGUGGGCCAUUUUCCAGUUCAAAGGGGAGGAAAAAUAAUAAUAAUAACAAAAGAAGGAAACUACAGGAACAAGAGGGCUCUCGCAGCUGCUUAGCAGCUACGCUCGGGCCCUAAAGAAAGAAA